rnacentral:rRNA from 1 species
GUUGUAUGGUUAAGUGACUAAGCGUACAUGGUGGAUGCCUUGGCAGUCAGAGGCGAUGAAGGACGUACUAACCUGCGAUAAGCUGUGAGAAGUCGGUAAGAGGCGCUAUUACUCACAGAUUUCCGAAUGGGGAAACCCACCCGAGAUAACUCGGGUAUCGUUACAUGAAUACAUAGUGUAACGAGGCGAACCGGGAGAACUGAAACAUCUAAGUACCCCGAGGAAAAGAAAUCAACCGAGAUUCCCUCAGUAGCGGCGAGCGAACGGGGAUUAGCCCUUAAGCAUCUUGGAAGUUAGUGGAACGGUCCUGGAAAGGCCGGCGAUACAGGGUGAUAGCCCCGUACACGAAAACAACCUUGAUGUGAAAUCGAGUAGGGCGGGACACGUGACAUCCUGUCUGAAUAUGGGGGGACCAUCCUCCAAGGCUAAAUACUCCUGACUGACCGAUAGUGAACCAGUACCGUGAGGGAAAGGCGAAAAGAACCCCUGUGAGGGGAGUGAAAUAGAACCUGAAACCGUGUACGUACAAGCAGUGGGAGCCCUUCGGGGUGACUGCGUACCUUUUGUAUAAUGGGUCAGCGACUUACAUUUUGUAGCGAGGUUAACCGUAUAGGGGAGCCGUAGGGAAACCGAGUCUUAACUGGGCGUCUAGUUGCAAGGUGUAGACCCGAAACCGGGUGAUCUAGCCAUGGGCAGGUUGAAGGUUGAGUAACAUCAACUGGAGGACCGAACCCACUAACGUUGCAAAGUUAGGGGAUGACCUGUGGCUGGGGGUGAAAGGCCAAUCAAACUCGGAGAUAGCUGGUUCUCCCCGAAAGCUAUUUAGGUAGCGCCUCGGACGAAUACUACUGGGGGUAGAGCACUGUUUGGGCUAGGGGGUCAUCCCGACUUACCAACCCCAUGCAAACUCCGAAUACCAGUAAGUACUAUCCGGGAGACACACGGCGGGUGCUAACGUCCGUCGUGAAGAGGGAAACAACCCAGACCGCCGGCUAAGGUCCCAAAGUUCUGGUUAAGUGGGAAACGAUGUGGGAAGGCUCAGACAGCUAGGAUGUUGGCUUAGAAGCAGCCAUCAUUUAAAGAAAGCGUAAUAGCUCACUAGUCGAGUCGGCCUGCGCGGAAGAUGUAACGGGGCUCAAACCAGGCACCGAAGCCGCGGAUUUGCACUUAGUGCAAGUGGUAGGGGAGCGUUCUGUAAGUCUGCGAAGGUGUAUCGAGAGGUAUGCUGGAGAUAUCAGAAGUGCGAAUGCUGACGUAAGUAACGAUAAAGGGGGUGAAAAGCCUCCUCGCCGGAAGACCAAGGGUUCCUGUCCAACGUUAAUCGGGGCAGGGUGAGUCGACCCCUAAGGCGAGGCCGAAAGGCGUAGUCGAUGGGAAGCAGGUUAAUAUUCCUGCACGACUUGUAAUUGCGAUGGGGGGACGGAGAAGGCUAGGUGGGCCAGGCGACGGUUGUCCUGGUGAAAGUGCGUAGGCGGUACCUUUAGGUAAAUCCGGGGGUGCAACGCUGAGACACGAGACGAACACACUACGGUGUGGAAGCCAUUGAUGCCCUGCUUCCAGGAAAAGCCUCUAAGCUUCAGAUUACAAGUCAUCGUACCCCAAACCGACACAGGUGGUCGGGUAGAGAAUACCAAGGCGCUUGAGAGAACUCGGGUGAAGGAACUAGGCAAAAUAGUACCGUAACUUCGGGAGAAGGUACGCUCUUGUUGGUGAAGUCCCUUGCGGAUGGAGCUGACGGGAGUCGCAGUGACCAGAUGGCUGGGACUGUUUAUCAAAAACACAGCACUCUGCAAACACGAAAGUGGACGUAUAGGGUGUGACACCUGCCCGGUGCCGGAAGGUUAAUUGAUGGGGUUAGCGCAAGCGAAGCUCUUGAUCGAAGCCCCGGUAAACGGCGGCCGUAACUAUAACGGUCCUAAGGUAGCGAAAUUCCUUGUCGGGUAAGUUCCGACCUGCACGAAUGGUGUAACCAUGGCCAUGCUGUCUCCACCCGAGACUCAGUGAAAUCGAAUUCGCCGUGAAGAUGCGGUGUACCCGCGGCUAGACGGAAAGACCCCGUGAACCUUUACUACAGCUUGGCACUGAACAUUGAACCUACAUGUGUAGGAUAGGUGGGAGGCUUUGAAGGCGUGACGCCAGUUGCGCUGGAGCCGUCCUUGAAAUACCACCCUUGUAUGUUUGAUGUUCUAACGCAGGGCCCUGAAUCGGGCUCGCGGACAGUGCCUGGUGGGUAGUUUGACUGGGGCGGUCUCCUCCCAAAGAGUAACGGAGGAGCACGAAGGUUGGCUAAUCCUGGUCGGACAUCAGGAGGUUAGUGCAAUGGCAUAAGCCAGCUUAACUGCGAGACGGACAGGUCGAGCAGGUACGAAAGUAGGUCAUAGUGAUCCGGUGGUUCUGAAUGGAAGGGCCAUCGCUCAACGGAUAAAAGGUACUCCGGGGAUAACAGGCUGAUACCGCCCAAGAGUUCAUAUCGACGGCGGUGUUUGGCACCUCGAUGUCGGCUCAUCACAUCCUGGGGCUGAAGUCGGUCCCAAGGGUAUGGCUGUUCGCCAUUUAAAGUGGUACGCGAGCUGGGUUCAGAACGUCGUGAGACAGUUCGGUCCCUAUCUGCCGUGGGCGUUGGAUGAUUGAAGGGAGUUGCUCCUAGUACGAGAGGACCGGAGUGAACGAACCUCUGGUGUUCGGGUUGUCACGCCAGUGGCACUGCCCGGUAGCUAAGUUCGGAAUCGAUAACCGCUGAAAGCAUCUAAGCGGGAAGCGAGCCCUGAGAUGAGUCAUCCCUGACCCCUUGAGGGUCCUAAAGGGCCGUUGGAGACCACAACGUUGAUAGGUGGGGUGUGUAAGUGCAGCGAUGCAUUGAGCUAACCCGUACUAAUUACCCGUGAGGCUUAACCAUACAACACCCAAGAAGUGUUCUG